GGGGCCCCUCAUCCUUCCUUUCCGACAAGUGGGAAUCCUGAGCGCUGCCCAGAGGGGUCCAGAGAAUGUUGUGGGCUGGGGCACACCCGCCGGGGCAGAAAUUGAAGACACGACGGACGUCCCUAGAAUCCUGGGCUCUAUCCUUCCGUUUAGCUGCCCAGUGUUCUCCUCCUCUACGUUAGCACGCUGUGGCCGGGGGCCGUCCCGGGGCUAGGCAACCAGGGCGCUCUCGGAUGCUCUGUAGAUCGCCGCUUCGCCCUUACUUUGGGGACAGUCACACGCGACCCGCUUCCCCAUGAUCUUCGCUUUAGAUCAGGCGUCUGCGCCCUCCCGGGCUCCUCACCCCCACCACCAGAGUCAAAUGUGAGCCUCUCCUGGAAAUCCUUUGCGAAGGGGACAAACUUUUGAGUGGACGAAAAUCUAUGGGAGCCUGUCUGGAGCAGCAGGCUCUGCUCUGAGACCCUGAGGCUGAUUGGCAUACCCUCUGCCUCUGGAGUUUAUAAUGAGGAUGCAAAUACAGGGAUUCAAAAAGGCCCUAAGUGAGAGGCUGGGCUUUGCUAACCAGGGGCAAGUACUCAUCACGGGCAAAGGACUGCCUUUACCUCCGAGUGCCACGAGGAUCGAAGAUCUUUGCCACCCUGAGACCUCCAUGUGUUGUGGAUAGAUAUACAAAUAAACAGAUGAAAAAAAGACAAA